rnacentral:misc_RNA from 1 species
AGCAAAUGCAUAUAGUAGUUCAUAUGAAGUCAGUACUUAAUUCUUCCACUCGAACUGAGUUCCAAAAAAUGAAAAGCAAAAGGGACUAAUAAUGCAGAGCACCAAGUUUAAUAGAGUAUUACAUUUUUAACCUACACCAGGAUAGAGCACUAAGAGAGAACAAAAAUUACAUUCAUCAACUGUGGUUCUGGGAGUAUCCAAAGCUUAGCGGUUGCUGACAGAAAGAAGGCUGAAAGAAGGCAUGUCUAACUUGAUCAUAUGAAUGUGCAUAAAUCAUGCUCUGGGGGGUGAAGGCGUAAGCGGAAGUUUGGGGCUACACAGACUCACCCCAAGAUAAAGCAGCAGCGGCGUUUCUCUGCACCUGUUGCUACAUAUAAUGUGCCAGCUGUGAGGGUUAGGAUAAUUGAGGAGCCUACACCUUCACCCCCUUUGAAUGUUUUGAAGGCUACAGAUCUUGUGGACAGUAAUGGUAGUGAAUUGAACAGCAAAGUAGAUGAAGUGGUGAAUGGAAAUGGUUUGAGAUUGAGAGAGCAAAAUGAGUUGAAUUUGAAGCUGAGUGAAUUAAAAGGAGCAACGUCAACUAAUGGGAACCCUGUGGAUAUAUCUGGUAAUGGUCUCACAAAUGGAUUUCCUAAGGUUAAUGGUGCAGAAUUUUAUCAGUCUGAUCGAUGUACUGGAGCUAAAAAGAGGAAAUCUGGUUGUGUUCGGAGAUUUAAACGGGAGACUACCUCAGCUGUGAAGGAUGAUACCCAAGAUGCUUUAGCAGGUGGUCCUUUGGCUACUUUUAUGCAGGAUGGAAGUCAUAAUCAUGUUAUGGUUGCUGAUGAUUCCAAAGAUGGGUAUACCAUUACACAACUUGUCAACCCUGUAAGCUAUAAAGCUUCUUUCUCCAAUGAUAUGCUGGAUGUCUCAGUGACCUUUGUUGCCAAGAGGGCCGAUGGAAAUUUAGUGCUGGUGGAUAACAAGUUUCUGAAGAUGAAUAAUCCACUUCUGUUGAUAAAUUUCUAUGAGGAGAAUAUGCGAUACCAUCCGACUGAAUGAGUUGCCUGCAAUGAAGGAAAUAUAUAUGUAGCUCGAUUAGCUUCAUCUCUUGUCUUAUCUAGUGUAUAAAAUGUUGUUAUUUACUGUUAGAACAAGCUGCAGGGUGUUAAUCUAUUAUGCUUAUUAGGAAGGCUAGUAAACAGAAUAUAUACUGUGAAAAACUUAUAUUAGGGUUUACUGUUUCCCGAUAUAAUAUGCUUCAGAGUUCUAUCUCGAUGUGUACCCAGUAGAUGAGAUG